rnacentral:rRNA from 1 species
UACGGGGGGUGCGAGCGUUAAUCGGAAUUACUGGGCGUAAAGCGUGCGUAGGCGGUUUAGUCAGUCAGCCGUGAAAGCCCCGGGCUCAACCUGGGAACGGCGGUUGAGACGGCUAGACUUGAGUGGGCUAGAGGAUCGUGGAAUUCCGGGUGUAGCGGUGAAAUGCGUAGAGAUCCGGAGGAACACCGAUGGCGAAGGCAGCGGUCUGGGGCCACACUGACGCUGAGGCACGAAAGCGUGGGGAGCAAACAGG